GGCCUAACACAUGCAAGUCGAGCGAUGAAACCCUUCGGGGUGGAUUAGCGGCAGACGGGUGAGUAACGCGUGGGAACAUACCUUUUGGUUCGGAACAACCCAGGGAAACUUGGGCUAAUACCGGAUAAGCCCUUACGGGGAAAGAUUUAUCGCCGAAAGAUUGGCCCGCGUCUGAUUAGCUAGUUGGUGAGGUAACGGCUCACCAAGGCGACGAUCAGUAGCUGGUCUGAGAGGAUGAUCAGCCACAUUGGGACUGAGACACGGCCCAAACUCCUACGGGAGGCAGCAGUGGGGAAUAUUGGACAAUGGGGGCAACCCUGAUCCAGCCAUGCCGCGUGAGUGAUGAAGGCCCUAGGGUUGUAAAGCUCUUUUGUGCGGGAAGAUAAUGACGGUACCGCAAGAAUAAGCCCCGGCUAACUUCGUGCCAGCAGCCGCGGUAAUACGAAGGGG
rnacentral:rRNA from 1 species